CAAGAAAUAAUUUAAAAAAAAUAUUAAUUUUGGAGAUUAAAAAUAUAAAGAAUUUUAUUUUCUUGA
rnacentral:tRNA from 1 species